AUGUAUUCCUGCCUGUGGCUGGGCUGGUCACAUGGGGAGAGCAGCCUGUUUAAAACCAGCCUCAGCUCUCUCACUCAGAACAGUGCAAGACACAGAGACCGGCGCACACGUCCUCUCCCUCCCGCACGCACUCACUCAUACGCACACGCUCGUGCACGCAGACGGCAACUUUCUUCUAUCGGACUGAUACGGCACGAGUGCAGGGAUAGACACACUCCCCCUGCUACGGUGGAGAAGAGGAUAAGCAGUGAUACAGAGAAGAGGAGGUUUCCAAUGUUUCUUGAUAUUCAUCCACUGGCCCUGGCGAUGAAUCUCCCAUCUUUGGCCAAUUGGACAGCGUUUCGGAUCUCAGUGAUUCCCUCUCAGGCCAUAACUGUCACUUUCUUUUCCAUUUUCCUUUUCUUCUUUUUCCCUUAUCGCUGACCCCCCCCCUCCUAGUUCGCGAUGGAAAUCAAAAAUUGGUUCCGUAUUUUGAUUCCUACUAUCUUUGUCCAGAUAGUGAAUAAUAUCAGGAUUAAAAAAAAAUAGUUUAGUUUUUAGAACUUUAGUGCCAGUUAAUCAAAUUUUGUUUCGGAACAUUUGAGUUGGAGUGUUUAUUAAUUUUAUCAACAUAGUAUGUCAAAUAAUUGGGUAUCACAAUAUUUCAUUUAAUUAUUCUAAAAUGCCAUGAUUUAUCAUUUUAUCUCCCUGCCCAACAUCCAAAGCUGUCUAAUCGGAGUUGCAUGCCUCCCGAGUCUUAUCUGGCAGAUAUUAUUUGUACAAACCGAACCAAAUAUAGGAUCAGUAUCAAUAAAAUCGUUUAAAUUCCCAUCCCUACUCUCAUUUUGACGUUCCCACGCCGACGUCACUUCCUCUCCUUCACUUUUGCAAUCCUUUCUCGACACUCCCUCACCCGGCUAUUUAUUCUCAGCGCAGCCGAUGUGACAGCCUUUUUUAACAACCUGCCAGUCAUUUUAUCCGUUUGCCUGCCAAGUUGCACCCCUCAGUCCUUCCCUUUUAGCCUUGCAAGACCAUCCUAAAUCAUCUCAGUGGUUCACUGACAGUCUCCUGAGGCAAACAGCUGAGACCGGAGCCCAAUCACUGCAAUGCAGCGAGCGUUUAGUUGGUGAUUUGCAUCUCUCAACUACCAAAUUUUGGGAACAAGUUUCAUGCAUAUUAGAUCUAAAACUGUGAUGAUGCAAUAAUAUGAGGAGCAAACGACCGAGGCACAGCAGCAGUAUCGUAUGAUUGGGUAUAAGCACAUAUGAUAUCUUGGCAAAAGAAAUUGUAUCUCAAUCAUGUAGCAGUUGGUUAAAAGUCUCAUGACCUGCAUGAGGUCCGUGCACAUUAAAGAAACCUCUGUCCCAAUCCAACAUCUGGCCGGUGUGGACCACCACGGGUUCAAGCGGUCUUCCUAGUAUUCUUUCCUCUUGCCAUUUCUUUAUCUUGACAUCUAAACUUUUUUGUUUAUAUUCUAGACCUUUUCAUUCAACCUGUUUUUUUGUUAAAGGUCAGUUUACAGUAGAUGAUAAUAGCCCUGGCUCGGGUUGUUUAGUG
ensembl:lncRNA